CAUAGGGUAAACAUUCCAGGUAUCAUGGAGAUUGAGGAGUGGGGAAAACAUUCCCACGGUUGAGAAUUUUAAUAUAACAGUUAUAAUAAUUAUGGUAUUUGUGCUACCAUUUAUUGAAUUCCUCUAUGUUAGGCACCUCAUUUCCUCCUCACAACCACUCUGCCAGGCAGAUAUUGUUAUCACCAUUUAACAAGGAAAAGGAUGAGAUUCAGAGAGGCACAGUAACCACGCUUUCAGCUGCGAGGUACAGAACACUCAGCCACAAGUGGCUGAGACGGAAGCUUCCUGACACUAACAGGGAAAAGAAACAGUGGCCAGAGACUGUCUCCUGAAAAAUGUGCAGGAAGGGUAAUUCGGAGGCCAAGACAAAUGUGUGGGAUGAGCUCCAGCCGGGCCUCAAAACAGAAGCUGAUGACACUCACAGGCUUCUGGGGCUCCUAGGAGGCCUUGUCACAUUCCACAUUUUUUCUGCAAGAGCUCAAAAGUUGCCUUCUCUGGAAGCUUCCGUGACUUCAGCAGAUGUAAGUUGCCUCUGCUUUACCCUUACUACACUUUUUAUGUAUACCCCCAAACACACACAACACACUCACACUCACACAUUAAAGGAAUUAUCUUACUAAAUUGAGAUUUAGAGAAAUAGCUGUCAGUGGUUAAGCCCCUAAUCUGUAACAUACAUGAUAUCUACAUUAGUUUAUUUACUGUUCCAACAGCUCUGAGAGGUAAGAUCUUUUUGUCCUCAUUUAUAGGUAUGGAAACUGAGGCUUAAACAGAUUUUGAUUUGUCCCAGCCUAGUUCUUUCUUUUUUAUUCUCAAUCAAUGUUAUAUCAUUUUGUCAAUCACUAUUUUCAUCUAAGUGUAUGUGAAAAGUUAUCAGUAGAAAACUGAGAAGCAAGCACAAAUCUAACUAAGAAGGAACAUUGCCACUAUUAGAUGAAGGGUCCCUGAAAAAGAUGCGCUGAAGAGAGUGUCUGAGUCAUAGUCUGAAUUUAGCUUGCUUGGGAGUUUUACAAGACCGCUUCUGGGCAAGGCCAUGACAGAGUCUUAGGAAGCAUAGGGCUUACAGCUGGCAAGCCUGUAGUGUGGGCCCAGUGCUGGUUAACCAGUAGGAACAUGGUCAGUAGGAAGAGACUGCUCUGUAUUUUCUACUUCAAAGCUUACCUUCAGAUCUCAGGAAUGGGCAAAUCACAAUACCUCUUAGGGGGCAGGGAGUAUCCUCAGCUGAUCCUGGCUGUAGGGUGUAGAGAGGAGGGAGAAACUUCAUUAGCACAGGAUCAGUGCUGGCCAAGGACAGAUAAGAAUCUGAGCCAGGCUUGCCUGGGAACUUUUUCCUCCAGGUAAAGACAUUAUGAUGACUGUAGAUAGCUUGGUGAUAACAGUCCUCACUGUGUCUGUCUCUGAAAUCGUACUACUUCCAUUUGAACUCAUUGCUCUCCACGUCAUAUGCACAUCCUCUUUGAGAUUCCCUUGACCUCUCUGUCUCCUGCGUUGGAUUCUCUGUUUCUGUAUCCCAGGUUUUCCCCUUUCUUGGUUCACUCUGUCAUUUUGGUGGAGCACAUCUUCAGUAGCCUCUUGGAUGCAUGGGAGCAUGGAGCCUGCCAGCCUGCUUCUACCUGGAUCCUAUUUGCCACCUUGGAACAGAAGCUGUCUUGUCAAUGUGUGCAAUGAUUACAUUGGGGGAAGAUGGAGAAGCACAGAACAUUUAUCAACAUAUACCAUAUGUUGGGCUAUAAAACAAGUCUUUUUUUUUGAGGAAGAUUAGCCCUGAGCUAACAUCUGCCACCAAUCCUCCUCUUUUUGCUGAGGAAGACUGGCCCUGAGCUAACACCUGUGCCCAUCUUCCUCUAUGCUAUGUCGGAUGCCUACCACAGCAUGACUUGACAAACAGUGCAUAGGUCUGCACCUGGGAUCCGAACCAGCUAACCCCAGGCCACCAAAGUGGGAAGUGUGCACUUAACCACUGUGCCACCGGGCC
ensembl:lncRNA